rnacentral:rRNA from 1 species
GCCCCGGUAAACGGCGGCCGUAACUAUAACGGUCCUAAGGUAGCGAAAUUCCUUGUCGGGUAAGUUCCGACCUGCACGAAUGGCGUAAUGAUGGCCAGGCUGUCUCCACCCGAGACUCAGUGAAAUUGAACUCGCUGUGAAGAUGCAGUGUACCCGCGGCAAGACGGAAAGACCCCGUGAACCUUUACUAUAGCUUGACACUGAACAUUGAGCCUUGAUGUGUAGGAUAGGUGGGAGGCUUUGAAGUGUGGACGCCAGUCUGCAUGGAGCCGACCUUGAAAUACCACCCUUUAAUGUUUGAUGUUCUAACGUUGGCCCGUAAUCCGGGUUGCGGACAGUGUCUGGUGGGUAGUUUGACUGGGGCGGUCUCCUCCUAAAGAGUAACGGAGGAGCACGAAGGUUGGCUAAUCCUGGUCGGACAUCAGGAGGUUAGUGCAAUGGCAUAAGCCAGCUUGACUGCGAGCGUGACGGCGCGAGCAGGUGCGAAAGCAGGUCAUAGUGAUCCGGUGGUUCUGAAUGGAAGGGCCAUCGCUCAACGGAUAAAAGGUACUCCGGGGAUAACAGGCUGAUACCGCCCAAGAGUUCAUAUCGACGGCGGUGUUUGGCACCUCGAUGUCGGCUCAUCACAUCCUGGGGCUGAAGUAGGUCCCAAGGGUAUGGCUGUUCGCCAUUUAAAGUGGUACGCGAGCUGGGUUUAGAACGUCGUGAGACAGUUCGGUCCCUAUCUGCCGUGGGCGCUGGAGAACUGAGGGGGGCUGCUCCUAGUACGAGAGGACCGGAGUGGACGCAUCACUGGUGUUCGGGUUGUCAUGCCAAUGGCACUGCCCGGUAGCUAAAUGCGGAAGAGAUAAGUGCUGAAAGCAUCUAAGCACGAAACUUGCCCCGAGAUGAGUUCUCCCUGACUCCUUGAGGGUCC